UACAGAGGGUGCAAGCGUUGUUCGGAAUUAUUGGGCGUAAAGGGAGUGUAGGCGGUGAGUUAAGUCUUCUGUGAAAGCUGCGAGCUUAGCCUGCAAAGUGCAGAGGAAACUGGCUGACUUGAGUGUCGGAGAGGAUAGGGGAAUACCCAGUGUAGAGGUGAAAUUCGUAGAGAUUGGGUGGAACACCAGUGGCGAAGGCGCCUGUCUGGCUGACAACUGACGCUGAGACUCGAAAGCAUGGGGAGCAAACAGG
rnacentral:rRNA from 1 species